UUAGUAACCUGGGCGAUAGCUGGUAUUCACAAGGAUUGUUUUUAGUCAUGGCCUUGGGAUUAAAAUGCUUCCGUUUGAUCCACCCUGCUUCUUGUAAUUACCUUGGAGUCUUGGUCAGACCUGUUUCAGAAAUUGCACUGAAGACAGUGAGUGGAAGACAGCCUGACCAUAGCCAGCACAUGGCUUAUCAGGCCCUACCAAUUCAUUCUUUUGCAACCAAGAAAGCCAAAGCCAAAGGGAAAGGACAAUCCCAAACCAGAGUGAACAUUAACACAGCUUUGGUUGAAGAUAUAAUCAACUUGGAAGAAGUGGAUGAAGAAAUGAAGUCUGUGAUAGAAGUACUCAAGGAUAAUUUCAAUAAGACUCUUAAUAUAAGGACUUCGCCAGGAUCCUUUGAUCAUAUUACUGUGGUAACUACUGAUGGGAAGCUUGCUUUAAACCAGAUUAGCCAGAUCACCAUGAAGUCGCCACAGUUGAUUUUGGUGAAUAUGGCCAGCUUCCCAGAGUGUACAGCUGCAGCUAUCAAGGCUAUAAGAGAAAGUGGAAUGAAUCUGAACCCAGAAGUGGAAAGGACGCUGAUUCGGGUACCUAUUCCUAAAGUAACCAGAGAGCACAGGGAGAUGCUGGUGAAACUGGCUAAACAGAACACCAACAAGGCCAAAGACUCUUUAUGGAGGGUUCGUACUGAUGCAAUGAAUAAGCUGAAGAAGUCAAAGGAUAAGACUUCAGAGGAUACCAUUCGACUC